AUGUACAUGCCUAUAGCAUUAAUGCAUUGGAUCCCAUCAGAACUUCGUAGUUAAGUGUGUUUGGGCUAGAGUAGUACUGGGAUGGGUGACCUCCCGGGAAGUCCUAUUGUUUUACAUU
rnacentral:rRNA from 1 species